GGUUAAGCGACUAAGCGUACACGGUGGAUGCCCUGGCAGUCAGAGGCGAUGAAGGACGUGCUAAUCUGCGAAAAGCGUCGGUAAGGUGAUAUGAACCGUUAUAGCCGGCGAUGUCCGAAUGGGGAAACCCAGUGCAAUUCGUUGCACUAUCGUUAACUGAAUACAUAGGUUAACGAGGCGAACCGGGGGAACUGAAACAUCUAAGUACCCCGAGGAAAAGAAAUCAACCGAGAUUCCCCCAGUAGCGGCGAGCGAACGGGGAGCAGCCCAGAGUCUGAAUCAGCUUGUGUGUUAGUGGAACGGUCUGGAAAGUCCGACGGUACAGGGUGAUAGUCCCGUACACCAAAAUGCACAGGCUGUGAACUCGAAGAGUAGGGCGGGACACGUGGUAUCCUGUCUGAAUAUGGGGGGACCAUCCUCCAAGGCUAAAUACUCCUGACUGACCGAUAGUGAACCAGUACCGUGAGGGAAAGGCGAAAAGAACCCCGGCGAGGGGAGUGAAAAAGAACCUGAAACCGUGUACGUACAAGCAGUGGGAGCACCUUCGGGUGUGACUGCGUACCUUUUGUAUAAUGGGUCAGCGACUUAUAUUCUGUAGCAAGGUUAACCGUAUAGGGGAGCCGCAGGGAAACCGAGUCUUAACUGGGCGUUAAGUUGCAGGGUAUAGACCCGAAACCCGGUGAUCUAGCCAUGGGCAGGUUGAAGGUUGGGUAACACUAACUGGAGGACCGAACCGACUAAUGUUGAAAAAUUAGCGGAUGACUUGUGGCUGGGGGUGAAAGGCCAAUCAAACCGGGAGAUAGCUGGUUCUCCCCGAAAGCUAUUUAGGUAGCGCCUCGUGAAUUCAUCUUCGGGGGUAGAGCACUGUUUCGGCUAGGGGGUCAUCCCGACUUACCAACCCGAUGCAAACUACGAAUACCGAAGAAUGUUAUCACGGGAGACACACGGCGGGUGCUAACGUCCGUCGUGAAGAGGGAAACAACCCAGACCGCCAGCUAAGGUCCCAAAGUCAUGGUUAAGUGGGAAACGAUGUGGGAAGGCACAGACAGCCAGGAUGUUGGCUUAGAAGCAGCCAUCAUUUAAAGAAAGCGUAAUAGCUCACUGGUCGAGUCGGCCUGCGCGGAAGAUGUAACGGGGCUAAACCAUGCACCGAAGCUGCGGCAGCGACACUAUGUGUUGUUGGGUAGGGGAGCGUUCUGUAAGCCUGCGAAGGUGUGCUGUGAGGCAUGCUGGAGGUAUCAGAAGUGCGAAUGCUGACAUAAGUAACGAUAAAGCGGGUGAAAAGCCCGCUCGCCGGAAGACCAAGGGUUCCUGUCCAACGUUAAUCGGGGCAGGGUGAGUCGACCCCUAAGGCGAGGCCGAAAGGCGUAGUCGAUGGGAAACAGGUUAAUAUUCCUGUACUUGGUGUUACUGCGAAGGGGGGACGGAGAAGGCUAUGUUAGCCGGGCGACGGUUGUCCCGGUUUAAGCAUGUAGGCUGAUUGUCCAGGCAAAUCCGGAUAAUCAAGGCUGAGGUGUGAUGACGAGGCACUACGGUGCUGAAGUAACAAAUGCCCUGCUUCCAGGAAAAGCCUCUAAGCAUCAGGUAACAUUAAAUCGUACCCCAAACCGACACAGGUGGUCAGGUAGAGAAUACCAAGGCGCUUGAGAGAACUCGGGUGAAGGAACUAGGCAAAAUGGUGCCGUAACUUCGGGAGAAGGCACGCUGGUGUGUAGGUGAAGUCCCUGCGGAUGGAGCUGAGACCAGUCGAAGAUACCAGCUGGCUGCAACUGUUUAUUAAAAACACAGCACUGUGCAAACACGAAAGUGGACGUAUACGGUGUGACGCCUGCCCGGUGCCGGAAGGUUAAUUGAUGGGGUUAUCCGUAAGGAGAAGCUCUUGAUCGAAGCCCCGGUAAACGGCGGCCGUAACUAUAACGGUCCUAAGGUAGCGAAAUUCCUUGUCGGGUAAGUUCCGACCUGCACGAAUGGCGUAAUGAUGGCCAGGCUGUCUCCACCCGAGACUCAGUGAAAUUGAACUCGCUGUGAAGAUGCAGUGUACCCGCGGCAAGACGGAAAGACCCCGUGAACCUUUACUAUAGCUUGACACUGAACAUUGAGCCUUGAUGUGUAGGAUAGGUGGGAGGCUUUGAAGCGUGGACGCCAGUCUGCGUGGAGCCAACCUUGAAAUACCACCCUUUAAUGUUUGAUGUUCUAACGUUGGCCCCUUACCGGGGUUGCGGACAGUGUCUGGUGGGUAGUUUGACUGGGGCGGUCUCCUCCCAAAGCGUAACGGAGGAGCACGAAGGUUAGCUAAUCCUGGUCGGACAUCAGGAGGUUAGUGCAAUGGCAUAAGCUAGCUUGACUGCGAGCGUGACGGCGCGAGCAGGUGCGAAAGCAGGUCAUAGUGAUCCGGUGGUUCUGAAUGGAAGGGCCAUCGCUCAACGGAUAAAAGGUACUCCGGGGAUAACAGGCUGAUACCGCCCAAGAGUUCAUAUCGACGGCGGUGUUUGGCACCUCGAUGUCGGCUCAUCACAUCCUGGGGCUGAAGUAGGUCCCAAGGGUAUGGCUGUUCGCCAUUUAAAGUGGUACGCGAGCUGGGUUUAGAACGUCGUGAGACAGUUCGGUCCCUAUCUGCCGUGGGCGCUGGAGAAUUGAGGGGGGCUGCUCCUAGUACGAGAGGACCGGAGUGGACGCAUCACUGGUGUUCGGGUUGUCAUGCCAAUGGCACUGCCCGGUAGCUAAAUGCGGAAGAGAUAAGUGCUGAAAGCAUCUAAGCACGAAACUUGCCCCGAGAUGAGUUCUCCCUGAGACUUUAAGUCUCCUGAAGGAACGUUAAAGACGAUGACGUUGAUAGGCCGGGUGUGUAAGCGCAGCGAUGCGUUGAGCUAACCGGUACUAAUGAACCGUGAGGCUUAACCUU
rnacentral:rRNA from 1 species